AGCGAACGCUGGCGGCAGGCCUAUCACAUGCAAGUCGAACGAACUCUUCGGAGUUAGUGGCGGACGGGUGAGUAACACGUGGGAACGUGCCUUUAGGUUCGGAAUAACUCAGGGAAACUUGUGCUAAUACCGAAUGUGCCCUUCGGGGGAAAGAUUUAUCGCCUUUAGAGCGGCCCGCGUCUGAUUAGCUUGUUGGUGGGGUAAUGGCCCACCAAGGCGACGAUCAGUAGCUGGUCUGAGAGGAUGACCAGCCACAUUGGGACUGAGACACGGCCCAAACUCCUACGGGAGGCAGCAGUGGGGAAUCUUGCGCAAUGGGCGAAAGCCUGACGCAGCCAUGCCGCGUGGAUGAUGAAGGUCUUAGGAUUGUAAAAUCCUUUCACCGGUGAAGAUAAUGACUGUAGCCGGAGAAGAAGCCCCGGCUAACUUCGUGCCAGCAGCCGCCGUAAUAC
rnacentral:rRNA from 1 species